AUAUGGCUCAGAACGAACGCUGGUGGCGUGCUUAUACAUGCAAGUCGAGCGAGGCAGCAAUGCCGAGCGGCGAACGGGUGAGUAACGCGUAAGCAAUCUGCCCCAUAUCAGGAAAUACCCGUGCCAACGCGCGGUUAAUGUCCAGGAGAGUGGCCUUCCGCAUGGAGGGUUGACUAGAGAUUUAUCGGUAUGGGAUGAGCUUGCGUCCGAUUAGCUAGUUGGCGGGGCAACGGCCACCAAGGCGACGAUCGGUAGCCGGCCUGAGAGGGUGAUCGGCCACAUUGGGACUGAGAUACGGCCCAGACUCCUACGGGAGGCAGCAGUAGGGAAUAUUGCACAAUGGGGGAAACCCUGAUGCAGCAACGCCACGUUGUGGGAAGAAGCAUUUCGGUGUGUAAACCACUGUCAUGAGGGAAUAAGGCCCUUAUUCGUAAGGACUUGAAUGUACCUUGAGAGGAAGCACCGGCAAACUUCGUGCCAGCCGCCGC
rnacentral:rRNA from 1 species